ensembl:lncRNA MIR3667HG MIR3667 host gene
AUGUGCACAGUGGACGUGGAAGGCUUUGAUGAUGUUGGUGAAACUCUCUCUGACGCUGUCAGAGAUGGAUUGGGGACAAUCCUGCGGGGAGGUGCUGAGGAGGGCAGCUACGACAACUGGCCCCACACCAGGAAAAGCUGGGGGCCGCUGAGCCCAGGCCACCAACGGGAGCUGUGGACCCAGCCUGACCCCUGGACCGAGGUGCUUUCAGGGCACAAGGGGGAUGCGGGAGCCUGUGGCUGCUGUUGCUUCUGCUCUCAGUUCAUAAACGCACGCUGUGCACAUCCCCUGUGCUUGGCAAGGGGCCUGGAUAGAAGGGCCAGUGAGGAGAUGCCCAUCCUCCAGGCACUGUGCCUCCUCCCAAAGGUCAGCACCCGGAGCAUCACUGUGCCCUCCCCACAAAGGUCAGCACCCCGAGCAUCACUGUGCCCUCCCCACAAAGGUAAGCACGCC